ACAUACGAACACAUCUGCUAGAAAGCUCGGGAUCCCGUCCGAUCUCCCAUCGAUAACCUAGCCAGAGUUGGAUUAGUAGCUAGAUCGGUGACGACUAGCGAGUCCCCAAUGUUGUAUGUU
rfam:Nectria haematococca mpVI 77-13-4 chromosome 12 genomic scaffold NECHAsca_41_chr12_2_0, whole genome shotgun sequence.